AGAGUUUGAUCAUGGCUCAGGACGAACGCUGGCGGCGUGCUUAACACAUGCAAGUCGAACGGAAAGCGCUCUUCGGAGUGACUCGAGUGGCGAACGGGUGAGUAACACGUGGGUGAUCUGCCCUGCACUUUGGGAUAAGCCUGGGAAACUGGGUCUAAUACCGGAUAGGACUACGGCCCGCAUGGGUUGUGGUGGAAAGCUUUUGCGGUGUGGGAUGGGCCCGCGGCCUAUCAGCUUGUUGGUGGGGUGAUGGCCUACCAAGGCGACGACGGGUAGCCGGCCUGAGAGGGUGUCCGGCCACACUGGGACUGAGAUACGGCCCAGACUCCUACGGGAGGCAGCAGUGGGGAAUAUUGCACAAUGGGCGCAAGCCUGAUGCAGCGACGCCGCGUGAGGGAUGACGGCCUUCGGGUUGUAAACCUCUUUCAGCACAGACGAAGCGCAAGUGACGGUAUGUGCAGAAGAAGCACCGGCCAACUACGUGCCAGCAGCCGCGGUAAUACGUAGGGUGCGAGCGUUGUCCGGAAUUACUGGGCGUAAAGAGCUCGUAGGUGGUUUGUCGCGUUGUUCGUGAAAACUCACAGCUUAACUGUGGGCGUGCGGGCGAUACGGGCAGACUGGAGUACUGCAGGGGAGACUGGAAUUCCUGGUGUAGCGGUGGAAUGCGCAGAUAUCAGGAGGAACACCGGUGGCGAAGGCGGGUCUCUGGGCAGUAACUGACGCUGAGGAGCGAAAGCGUGGGGAGCGAACAGGAUUAGAUACCCUAGUAGUCC
rnacentral:rRNA from 1 species